rnacentral:rRNA from 1 species
GAUGAACGCUGGCGGCGUGCCUAAUACAUGCAAGUCGAGCGAAUGGAUUAAGAGCUUGCUCUUAUGAAGUUAGCGGCGGACGGGUGAGUAACACGUGGGUAACCUGCCCAUAAGACUGGGAUAACUCCGGGAAACCGGGGCUAAUACCGGAUAACAUUUUGAACCUCAUGGUUCGAAAUUGAAAGGCGGCUUCGGCUGUCACUUAUGGAUGGACCCGCGUCGCAUUAGCUAGUUGGUGAGGUAACGGCUCACCAAGGCAACGAUGCGUAGCCGACCUGAGAGGGGGAUCGGACACACUGGGACUGAGACACGGCCCAGACUCCUACGGGAGGCAGCAGUAGGGAAUCUUCCGCAAGGGACGAAAGUCUGACGGAGCAACGCCGCGUGAGUGAUGAAGGCUUUCGGGUCGUAAAACUCUGUUGUUAGGGAAGAACAAGUGCUAGUUGAAUAAGCUGACACCUUGACGGUACCUAACCAGAAAGCCACGGCUAACUACGUGCCAGCAGCCGCGGUAA